CCAAACCCAUGUUUCUUCCUAUUAUUUCCUCUUCGAUACAAAAAUUCAUUCCCUUCCAGCCAUGGCAGAAGCUUGCCCCUCCAAUUUGGGGUAAGUUUCUCAUAUGCCUCAUCUUUUCUUGUUGAUGUCUGUGAAUUUCUCCUCUCUAAUCCCUAUCACGAGAUUUGGUCAAGCGAAAGGGACAAAGAACUUUUGAAGAAAUCUGCAGGUUUAGCUCUAUUCUUUCCAUUUGCUUCAUAAAAAUCUCUUCUCUUUGCUGUGGUAUUCAUGGUGGACAAUCAAUUCUUUGGUCCUUUGUCAAUUCAAAAUUCAACUAAUGAAUUUGUCUUCUCUAUUCAAUAUUAAAACGACACUUUUUAAUUCCCACUCUUCAAAACCCUAGCUUCUUGGCCUAUAAAUAUUCUCUUUUGGAGCUCACAAAAGGAGAUGGUUCAGCCUCCCCCUCCCCCCCCCCCCNNNNNNNNNNNNNNNNNNNNNNNNNNNNNNNNNNNNNNNNNNNNNNNNNNNNNNNNNNNNNNNNNNNNNNNNNNNNNNNNNNNNNNNNNNNNNNNNNNNNNNNNNNNNNNNNNNNNNNNNNNNNNNNCCCCUUUUUGACCCCAAAAUUGAUGGUUUUUAGCCGCCCUUUUACACCAAAACCUCAUGGUUGUUAAUGCCUCCUAACUUUAAACUUUGUUUGAAACUGCUGCCUUUCUCUUUAAACAAAAAGAAUCAGGCAUCUUUGUCCUCUUCAAGUCUAAGCUAGCGGGCUCGAGGUCGGGGUUCAGUAGUGCACUUAAGAUCUCCGCCUCAGUUCGCUGCCCUGCAAAAGGUACGUAUCAACUUUUCUUUCGACAAAUUUUUGGUUCUGAUUAGAGUAUGUUCGAUACUUGAUGCAUUUUUCUUCAAUACAUGUUAGUUUUGUUAGGCUUCCACGCUGUAAUACUAUAAAAAUGGGUGUUUGCUUUUAUAUUAUGUUUACCUUUAGUUUGAUGAAAUGAUUCUAUGACUAAAGUUGUUAGAAAUAAUUUUUUAAGGAGGUUAUAUUCUGAUUUGUGUAUUGAAACGUUUCUGCCUAUAUUCGAUAAAAUGCUCAUAUGAAAAUACAUCCUUUUUCAUAGUUCUUUGUCAGAUUCCAUAAUUUUAAGAAAGAUUUUGUCAUGGACUAGGUAUGUUGCAAAAGAUUCAUUUGUCAUGUGAUUUAGGACCUUUCUUAGGCACCAUGUUUAGGAGUCGAAAAUUUUGUUUAGUUAAAAGUAAACUAUUUGGUUUACUUCAUGUCUUUGAAGUUUGAAGAUUUGGUUUACUUCAUGUCUUUCACACCUCAGACUUGAUUUAUUUUAACUCAUGUUUUAAAAAAAUUGAUCUCCUCUUCAUUAUGGACUGUAAGGGCAAAGAUUGGUUUACUUAAUGUACUUUAAGAGGAUGAAAUCUGGGCAAUAAAAUUAUUGACCAUCCAUUUAAGCAUUAAAAAAAAAGCAUUCUAUUGGAGUAUGAAUGUAUAUACUCAUGGAUUUAGUUUUUUCUUCACAGGAGGUUUGGAUACUAUAGCUAUUGAAUAUUGAGCUUGCGAUUUAAAAAUGUUUGAAACUUUCUUCAUGCAUAUCUAGAAAUGCGGAUUUAAGAAACUGAAAGUAUUAAUGAAAUUGUGAUUGUUUCUUUCAUAGUUCUCUGAAAAUCAUAUCUUUUUGAGAUAUUGUAAUUAGCCUUUAAAUAAAAGAUAGAAUUUUCGCAUUCGACAAGGAAUCCGUCUAUUUUCUUUACAUUUUUCUUGCUAUUAAAUGAGUUUGUCUUUCUCGUGAACUAAAAGUUAGUUUCUAGGAAUCUGUUUGAAUUUUAAAGACCAUAAGAGGGGAGAAUACUUACUGCUCUUGUUUUACUAGGUCUCAGCAUCGUAGUGAUCACUACUUUUAGAAUAACCCGAUUACUUAGUUGUGUCAAGUUAAAUAUGCUCAUGUUAACUAACAGAUAUCAUGCCUGUUGCUUUUCUUGUUUUAUGUCAGUUUUAUUUGCCAUGAUAUUAGAAAAUUAUCUUACUCGAUUAAGAUCUCUAUCUAUGGAUAAUGUUUUGCUUUUCGACAAACGCCUUGAGUUUUACUUGAGAUGUUGGUGUUAGAAAGCAUAUUGUAGGAGAUUAUUUUAAAAUUCACAUUGUUCAUAAUUCUCAUUAGCUUAAAUAGCCGGUACCAAUAUGAAGAGAGGAAUUAACGAAAUGCUACAUUGAUGACUAAUCCGUUCUUGUUCUGAAAUUAAGAAUUGUGAAUUGAUGCUUUCCUUUAAUUUGGUGCAUUUUAAUUGUCCUUAUAAUGUAUUGAUGUACAAGGCUUCCUUAAUAAUUUUUAUUUUUCCUUUUUUUGCAUGAACACUUGGAGCAGAAUCGGAGUCUCACUCGAGACUCACACUACCCGAGCAGGGAGUCAUAGCAUCCCAUACCGUCUUCCAUAGAGUCCCGGAUAGCAAGAAAACAAGCGGAACGCUUGGGGACACCUAUGGGGUCUUUCAUUUUUCUUUGUCUUAUCAUUCGUUUAAUUUCUUUAUGAUUGUCGAUUUAUUUGGGGUUUGUCUUAUAAUAUAUUUGGUCGCUAAAUUUUAUUUUGUUUAAUGGCAUUUACUCAAGUUAAUAAUAAAUCGCCGAUUUUAUUUACGUGAGUCUUAAGGGCUUUUAAAAUCAACAAUUUGAGAUAAUGGACUUAUUUAUUUACUUU
rnacentral:lncRNA from 1 species